CGUGGUGAUCGGGAAGUCCUUGACGUUGGUGAACUUGUUCGAACCGCUGACAAUACCAAGCGCCGGGACUUUCUUUCCCGUCAGAUAUUUUGCCGUUGCCGUAUUGCCGGGCGUGCCAAGCUGGCCAAACAUGAAGGCGACUUCGUCACUCUCAACCAGCUUGCGAACAUGCUCGACCGCCUUCGGAGGGCUGUAGGCGUCGUCAUAGGCGAUGUAAUUGAUUUUCCGGCCGUUGAUGCCACCGCGGUCGUUGACCGACUGCACGUA
rnacentral:misc_RNA from 1 species